CUACGCCGAGCUGCUGGCGCGGGUGCGCAGCCUGCUGCGCCGCGGGCCGCCACGCGAGGUCGAGCAGUUCCACGUUGCCGAUCUGGA
rnacentral:tRNA from 1 species